rnacentral:rRNA from 1 species
GACGAACGCUGGCUGCGUGCUUAACACAUGCAAGUCGAACGGUAAGGCUCCAGCUUGCUGGGGUACACGAGUGGCGAACGGGUGAGUAACACGUGGGUGACCUGCCCUGCACUUCGGGAUAAGCCUGGGAAACUGGGUCUAAUACCGGAUAGGACCAUGGUGUGGAUGCUGUGGUGGAAAGUUUUUUCGGUGUGGGAUGGGCCCGCGGCCUAUCAGCUUGUUGGUGGGGUAAUGGCCUACCAAGGCGGCGACGGGUAGCCGGCCUGAGAGGGUGGACGGCCACAUUGGGACUGAGACACGGCCCAGACUCCUACGGGAGGCAGCAGUGGGGAAUAUUGCACAAUGGGCGGAAGCCUGAUGCAGCGACGCCGCGUGGGGGAUGACGGCCUUCGGGUUGUAAACUCCUUUCACCAUCGACGAAGGGUUUCUGACGGUAGAUGGAGAAGAAGCACCGGCUAACUACGUGCCAGCAGCCGCGGUAAUACGUAGGGUGCGAGCGUUGUCCGGAAUUACUGGGCGUAAAGAGCUCGUAGGUGGUUUGUCGCGUCGUCUGUGAAAUUCCGGGGCUUAACUCCGGGCGUGCAGGCGAUACGGGCAUAACUUGAGUACUGUAGGGGAGACUGGAAUUCCUGGUGUAGCGGUGAAAUGCGCAGAUAUCAGGAGGAACACCGGU